rnacentral:tRNA from 1 species
GGGGUUGUGGCUCAGUGGUAGAGCACUUGCCUGGCAUGUAUGAGGCACUGGGCUUGAUGCUCAGCACCA